rnacentral:tRNA from 1 species
CUUGCGAUAGCUCAGUCGGUAGAGUGAAGGACUGUAGUUCCUUAGGUCGUUGGUUCGAAGCCAGCCGUCACAAGA